AUCCCCAGUCUGUGUGAUCUGGUCCACCGUUGUCACUAAUAUGCUGUCUCUCUGACCUCAUGUGUUCUCACUCUUCCCCUCAUUUAUUCCACUACAGCCACACUAUCAUCUUUGCUCUUCCGAACGUGCCAAGCCCAAGGCUUAGACUUUUAUAAGACUAUAUUCAGGCUGGGUGCGGUGGCUAACGCCUGUAAUCCCAGCACUUUGGGAGGCUGAGGCGGGUGGAUCACCUGAGGUCAGGAGUUCGAGACCAGCCUGGUCAACAUGGUG
rnacentral:lncRNA from 1 species